rnacentral:rRNA from 1 species
UUGACCUCAAAUCGGGUGAGACUACCCGUUGA